AAUCAUAUGCUUCCUGCUUAAGCAUUUUAGCCACACUUGCCUUGUAAAGUUUCACUUGUAACUCGCGCCCCGUGAGAUGUUUGUUUCCCAUCUGGGUUUUCUCCUUUUUAGAGCGGCACAUCGGCUCCCGGCUCGCAGGGAUUUGCGUUACGCAAAUCCGACCGGCUCCGGGACCGCACGGCGGGGCGAUCGGGUGGAAGGUGGUUAAAUACGACAGUGCUAGUUCUUCACUGUGUCUCUGGAUGUAGGACAUAUAUGGACUAAGAAGAUACACAGGGAACCAACUUAUUUCUAGCUGCCUUAUUCUGGCAUAUAUUAAAGAUGCAUCAUAAUUUUUCCUGUGGUUGAAAAUUGAACAAUAAGCUAAACUGGCUUUUAUUUUGCUCCUGCUUACUGCUAGUUCUGGUAUCUCAAAACCAAGCAGUAAGUGUAGACAUAAAAUACCAGCACAGCCUGCAAAAAGCAUUAACACCUAUGAGGGAGUCUUUCAGGGGGUAUCUCCAUCCUCCUCAAAGCAACUCUCAAUUUCAGGCCAUAGUGUGCUUGCCUCUAAUUCACAGUAUCCAGCAGGAACGUGGAGAUCUGGAUACGUUUUGCAGUAGAUCUCAGAAGAAUGACAGAUUUUUACAUGAGAUCCUGCAGAUGAUAUGCCUGUACCCAGAAGAUUCAGGUAUUGGUUCCUGGAAGCUCUCAGAGGAGAAAGACAGCUUCACUCUGCACAUCUAAAUAUGUUCAUCGACUUCUCACCCAGUGUAGAUCUUGCAUAAAGACACCAUAUUUAUAUGCAGCUAAGUGCACUAGUUCAUCUAGGUCUUUCAGCAACAACAUGUAGGCUUAUGUAAUGAUAUUACAACAUGCAAGCCUUCUUUAUGCAAUUGUUUUAAACUCUGCUGAAAUCUCAGGGCUGGUUUUGAUAGCUAGUGGCCAAAGAUUCUGCUGGCAUCUCCUUCCACUGUGCUUGGAAAUGGAAAGCACACAAGAAGGGAAGGAUACCAGCCAGGUGCUGCUUGGUGUGCAGAGUGAAGCCAUUCUACAGACAACCCUGCAACUCUUGUUGAUAAGAGUAUGUUAAUUCAGUGGCAAACCGGAACAUUGCUACGAUAUUUUUGAAGAAGUUGCUAUAUGCUUAAACUGGAACAUGCCAAAAAGGGGGUGAAGUGGAAGAGUUCAGGUUUAUCAUCGUGCUAUUGUUGUUGGCCUGGAUCCCUGCCAGUUUUUGUUCAGCUUUAGGUGAGGUCUCUGCUUGGGAUCAGCUGGCACACCUGUCCUUUUAUGUAUGAUUGUUUUUAUGUUUAUGGUGGAGAGAUUCGGCUCAUUUGUUUACUGACACUGCUGGAGGUCCAUGGCAGACAUUACGUAGCUGCUCCUCGUGGAUUUCUGGGCUGUCCCAAUGGUGUGUCUGUGAAAUUGAUAAGGAUUGGGUGCCUCUGUGGCACUUCACGGCCAUGGGACCAUAAUAUUCAAGAAGGUUGAAACCACAUACCUAGGACUGAGUCAGCAGGCAUUCUUUUGGGGCUUUUGGACAAUGUUGUAUUAAACAACAGCAGCAACACCAAGAGAAACAGAUUCUUAUUCUUGAAAUGAGAAUUUGAAUAGCUUUUAAAAUUAUUCUUAUGUUCAGAGCAUCUUUCUGCAUAUCUUAAAGUGUUGUCACUGACAAGAGUCUCUGAGAGUUUUGCUAUUUGCCAUUUUCAUUAUAUCAAAAUAGCUGAGUUUACAGAGCAGCUGAAGGGUGUGAAAGAAACCCUCACUCCUAACAGUGAUGUAGUGGUAUGAAUCCUGAGCAGAAUUAAACAUCUUUCUUACAAAAGAAUCCUAACCAACCAGCUAUUGUAGGCUGAAAUGUUCUCAGUGUUUUUUCCUUGCUCCUUCAGAUUUGUUUAGCAAAUGUUGUUGACUUUCUUUCCUACCACCCUCUGCAUCCCUAUGUCCUUCUCUUCCCUCAUUACCUUUCUGUUGCUUUUUAUACCAAAUUCAUAUAACAUUUAGUGUAAGAAAUUGCCACUGAAGAACAUUGUACAACUGAAUAAUAAAAGAAAUCCUAAAGCAUGGAGGAUUGGGUCAUAGAUGGUGCAUUAUAAUUUUCUGGGUCAUAGUAACAUUCUUGUGCUAUAAAGCAUAAGUUCAGAAGCCAAAAGAUUUGCGGAACUCAAAGUCAUAGGACAACCACUCUUUGUGUUUUCUGUCUUUAUGGAAUGAGUCUAGACUUCUUGGAAAGCUCCCUAUUGAUAGCCUUGAAACUCUUCCUUCAUAGCAUAAGAACACUACUGUAGCAACAGAGUAACUUUCCAUACGCCCAAGCUACAUUCGAACACUUCAAGUCUGUAUCCGUAUCCUCACUUGACCUAUGCUGUAGUCCCACAGAAGCUGCUGGAGUCUUGUGCCUAAGAUCUUUGAAGAUGCUCUGCUCUGCUCUGCUCUGCUCCAGUUCUGAGUAAGCUUCGGCAUUCGACAAGAAGAGAUGUGGGACCCAUUAUUUCUACAUUUCAUAAACAGCAAUGCAGAGACAAAGAAAGUAAUCACAUUAUACCAGCCUACACAAGGAGACAGGGGCAGAACUGAGAGCUCAGGUUCACAACAGAGGCGGGAGGAAGGCUAACAGCAGCUCAUCAGAUUGCCAUUGUGAAGGGUUGCUCUCCAGUCUUCAACUUGAGUGUGGUGAUUUACAUUUUCUACUUUGGGACAAUGUAUUUUUCUUCAGCGAAUUCUUGGCAUUAUGUGUGUUUGACUGUGGCCUCCUACACACAGCAGCCCUGUCUAUUGGAGCUGAGCUCUCUGACAGCAGGUUUCAGUGCUCAGUGAGCAGCAAUGAUUGCUUGUGUUUUUGAAAGCAAGAAUGGAUGCUAAGAGCAAUUUGGGUUUCUUUUUCAAGAUAAUUAAAAACAAAACAAAACAAAACAAAACUCACAAAACCAACAACAAAAAACAUCCAAAACAACCCACAACAAAAUACUGAAUCCAGAAAGAACAACCCCCAAAACACAGCAACACGUUUGCAUAUAUCUGUGUUACAACCACAUUUGUGCUGUUGCUGGGACAUGCGGUGACUGACUUUACAAUACCAUGGGCUCUCGGUGUAAGAAUUUUAAUUAACCUUAAGUUAAAGGUAUAAAACUUGUGCUAGCAUGUCCCAGAGAACUUUUGUAAUAUUAACCCAAUAAUGUCCAACAUUUUCUGUCAGCUAUAAGGUUUAUCAUAAUUCACAAGAAAUCUUGUAAUCAUGUAGAUCUGAGCAUUAUGUCUCCCCAAAGCCCCUUUCAUAAUGGGAAAUAGUGCCUAAUGUUUUUUAUUGUCUUUCUUUCCUCCCUCCCUUGGGCUGUACUCUAUCUCCUCGAUUGUCCUUCCUGCAGAAAUUAAAGCUUUCCUUUUGAAUGACUGGAGAAGAUCAACCAUUAAGUUUGUCAUGGUUUAAUAAUUUUGUAAUUUUUGCUAUCAGUAUUCCACAUCAUAACAUCAUAUAAAGCAUGA